UUCAUUGUUUGUGUGUGUGUGUGUGUGUGUGUGUGUGUGUGUGUGUGUGUGUGUGUGUGUGUGUGUGUGUGUGUGUGUGUGUGUGUGUGUGUGUGUGUGUGUGUGUGUGUGUGUGUUAACUGACAUCAGUCUUCAGUACCAGACUGACUCCACAUACUUGUUCACCGUAACCGAGCAAAAAAACCCUUGUUCCGGGGACGCAACGUGACCGCGCGUACCCAGCUUCCAUCGCGGCCGCAUUGUAUUUUAGCUGCAGUACCACGGAAAUGUCUGCCAUGUCUUUUUUUGCUUCAAGGCUGAGCGAAGUCCCCGGGGCUUGCUAUUUUAGUCUCUGUGCUUCCCUUUGUCUUUGUUGGGUCGUCUGCUUUUUUCCCCCGAGUCCGUCCCUGUGAUUUUCCCCCAGUGCUUCCAGACAUUGUUUCUGUUCCCACUCUCGUGGACACCUUUAGUUGCAUUUAGUUUUUGUUUUAUUGAGACAUUAAGUCUGUUUUCUUUUAUUAAAUAUUUUAUGUACUCCUCUGCAUUUUGGGUCCAGUUCGUGCUCAGAACGACCCAACCAAAAGAUGGACCCAGCAUCGGGCCUGCUAACCUCCUGCCAUCCCCUGUUCCUGCGUCGGAGGUCCCUACCGACGCCUGCUCCUCGUCUUCAGUCGGUGGACCGAUCAACGCGUUCCCCGUCGGUGUGCCAAUCGACACGUUAUGCUGCUAUGCCUGCCUGCAAGGCCUCCAGGCCGUCCCCCAGAACUGCUAGGAUCACUCGGAGACCGGGCGUGCAUCCGCUGAUGUCAGGGUUUCAACAGUAUUCUUCAGCAUUAAAAACGGACCCAUGGCCUUCAGUUUUCCUCCAGGUGAUCCAGACAGACUAGACCAGUGGAAGCUCAACAUGAGGCAGAACUGAACUCGGACUCAGCACUGACCCCAAGCACUCCAAAUAUGGGAAGAACCUGCCUGAGGGACUCCACUGUGCUGACCAUGUUCUGUCUCCAAGAGCAAAGA